rnacentral:rRNA from 1 species
GUGCCAGCAGCCGCGGUAAUACGGAGGGUGCAAGCGUUAUCCGGAUUUACUGGGUUUAAAGGGUGCGUAGGCGGGCCUUUAAGUCAGUGGUGAAAUCUCCCGGCUUAACCGGGAAACUGCCAUUGAUACUAUUGGUCUUGAAUUCAGUUGAGGUGGGCGGAAUGUGUCGUGUAGCGGUGAAAUGCUUAGAUAUGACACAGAACACCAAUUGCGAAGGCAGCUCGCUAAACUGACAUUGACGCUGAGGCACGAAAGCGUGGGGAUCAAACAGGAUUAGAAACCCGAGUAGUCC